rnacentral:rRNA from 1 species
GAUGAACGCUGGCGGCGUGCCUAAUACAUGCAAGUCGAGCGAACAGAUGAGGAGCUUGCUCCUCUGACGUUAGCGGCGGACGGGUGAGUAACACGUGGAUAACCUACCUAUAAGACUGGGAUAACUUCGGGAAACCGGAGCUAAUACCGGAUAAUAUAUUGAACCGCAUGGUUCAAUAGUGAAAGACGGUUUUGCUGUCACUUAUAGAUGGAUCCGCGCCGCAUUAGCUAGUUGGUAAGGUAACGGCUUACCAAGGCAACGAUGAGUAGCCGACCUGAGAGGGUGGUCGGCGACACUGCAAGUGAUACACGGCCCAGAAUCCUACGAGAGGAAGCAGUAGGGAAUCUUACGGAAUGGGCGAAGGCCUGCUGGUGCAACGCCGCGGGAUGGAUGAAGGUCUUCGGAUCGUAGAAAUCUGUUAUUAGGGAAGAAGCAAUGUGUAAGUAAUUAUGCACGUCUUGACGGUAGCUAAUCAGAAAGCCACGGCUAACUACGUG